rnacentral:lncRNA from 1 species
UUUGUUGUUUUUUGUGGGGGUUUUUUGAGGCAGGGUCUCACACUGUUGCCCAGGCUGUAGUGCAGUGGUGCAGUCAGCUCACUGUAACCUCCAACUCCUGGGCUCAAGAUCCCCCCGCCUCAGCCUUUCAAAGUGCUGGGAUUAUAGGAUUAUGGGCGUGAGCUCAUCCUGGCCAGACGUGGUUUUUUUUCCCUUGAAAUAGCUAUUUUGGUCUCAUGAUAGCGUGUACCUUCUGAGUAAUUGGGUUUUUCUUGACGUUUAUUUGAUAGAUAUGAUCGCUUGCUGGAGACCUGCUCUAUUGCCCUUGUGGGCAAAUACACGAAGUUCUCAGACUCCUAUGCCUCUGUCAUUAAGGCUCUGGAGCAUUCUGCACUGGCCAUCAACCACAAAUUGGAAAUCAAGUACAUAGAUUCUGCGGACUUGGAGCCCAUCACCUCGCAAGAAGAGCCCGUGCGCUACCACGAAGCUUGGCAGAAGCUCUGUAGUGCUCAUGGAGUGCUGGUUCCAGGAGGAUUUGGUGUUCGAGGAACAGAAGGAAAAAUCCAAGCAAUUGCCUGGGCUCGGAAUC